rnacentral:rRNA from 1 species
AUGAGGAAUGGCCAGCCUGUCGAGGUGUCGAUCGCGCCUACCGUCGAGGCGGGAAGAGACCGUCGGCGGGGCGAGAAUGAGGAAGGGUGGUCGGCCGAGGCGAUUGAAGACGAGGCGGCAACGUCGAACGAGAAGGACAUCGAGGAGAUCAACGUGGAGGAUGACGGUAGUGUCGCCAUCCCGGAUGCCCCCGUGGGCGUAGUCACCAUUGAGGAUGACAGUAUCAUCUCGGCCGAUGCUCCGGCGAUAGAGAAGGACGAGAUUGGCACGUUUGUGCCUGCUCCGGUGGCCAACGAAGAUGCCGGUGCCACCUUCCUGGCUGCCCCGGUGGCCGGUGAUGAUGGCAGUGCUUCCUUCGUUGCUGCGCCGGCGGCCAAGGAGGACGAACUUGUAUCCAUCGCGUCUGCUCCGUUGGCGGGGGAGAUUGAGGGUAUCACCAUGUCGGUUGCUCCGGUUGCCGACGAGAUUGAUGUUGCCACCUUCCCGGCCGCUCCGGUGGCCAAGGAGGAGGAAAGUGAAACUGCCGCCUUGGUGGAUGCUCCGGUCGCCGAGGAGGUUAACGUCGCCGCCUUCCCAUCCGCUCCGGUGGCCAAGGAGCAGGAAACUGAAACUGCCGCCCUCGUUAAUGCUCCGGCCGCCGAGGAGGUUGGCGUUGCCUCCUUCCCGGCCGCUCCGGUGACCAAGGAGCAGCAAAGUGAAACUGCCGCCUUGGUGGAUGCGCCGGUCGCCAAGGAUGAGCAAACUGUAACUGCCGCCUUGGUGGACGCCCCGGUGGCCAAGGCAGAUGGAAGUGCAGCCACCGCCGAGGCUGCGCCGGUGGUCACGCGGGAGCAAGAAGAAGAUGCCGUCACCGUAGACGCCCCUGCCCCGACGACGGCCAACGAGGACGAAAUUGCCACCGGGGCGGCUGCUCCUGCAACCAACGUGGACGAAAGCCCCGCAUUCCCCACCAAGCCGGUGCCGGAGGUGGAGGUGCCAGAGGCGGCAGAGCAACCCACGCCUUCCUUGAACAACGACGAUCUGAGAAGCGAGCCAGAGCUGCCGGCGCCUACUGUCGUCAAAGAGGCCGCAGUCGAAGCCAAUGAUGAGACCGAGCAAACUAAGGAGGCAACGGCGACCGAGGAGGAGGUGGUCACCGUCGAGGAGGUCGACGUCGUGCCGCAAGAGGUCGAGAGCGUCUCCCGGGAGCCGGAACAGGAGGAGACAUCCGCGGCCACUUUGAGAGACGAUGAUGGGGAAUCGGACGGAAAAAAAGGCACUGAUGUGAAGGAGGCCGCAAUAAGGGCAGAGGAAAAGGGAGGGGAGGAUAAGCUGACCGUCGAGGAAGAGAAGAAGGACGGCGAAGAACAAGAACCAGCCGUCGCUCCGGUCGAGUCAUCGUCUAGUUGA